GGUGGGUACGGUGGCAUACACUCAUAUUCCUGGGGAGGCUAGGGCUGAUGCAUCUCUGGAGCUUAGGUCUCCUGGCCUGUAGUGAGCUAAAGACAAUCAGGUUUUCACACUAUGAACCAACUAUGGUGAGCCCUCUGGAGCAGAAGAGCACAAGGCUACCUAAGGAGGGGUGGAUUGAUCCAGGUUGGAAACAGAGCAGGUCAAAGUUUCCAUGCCAAUUAAUAGUGGGAUUGACCCAUGAGUAGUAGCUGUCCUUCUAGCCUGGGCAAGAUAGGGAGACCAAGUCUUUU
rnacentral:SRP_RNA from 1 species